UACUACGCGCGCAGUGACGCGGUUACAGCUCAUAUUUGAAAUCUGGCCUCACGGUCCGAGUUGGGUUUGUAGAGGAUGCUUCGAGCAUGGUCUGGCCUAAGUUCCUUGGAACAGGACGUCAUAGAGGGUGAGAAUCCCGUAUGCGGCCAGGUGCCUACGCUCAUGUGAAGCUCCUUCGACGAGUCGAGUUGUUUGGGAAUGCAGCUCAAAAUGGGUGGUAAAUUUCAUCUAAAGCUAAAUAUUGGCCAGAGACCGAUAGCGCACAAGUAGAGUGAUCGAAAGAUGAAAAGCACUUUGGAAAGAGAGUUAAACAGUACGUGAAAUUGUUGAAAGGGAAGCGCUUGCAACCAGACUUGCGCGCGGCCGAUCAUCCGGUGUUCUCACCGGUGCACUCGGCCGUGCUCAGGCCAGCAUCGGUUUUGGCGGCUGGAUAAAGGCCCUAGGAAUGUAGCUCCUCUCGGGGAGUGUUAUAGCCUAGGGUGCAAUGCAGCCUGCUGGGACCGAGGACCGCGCUUCGGCUAGGAUGCUGGCGUAAUGGUUGUAAGCGGCCCGUCUUGAAACACGGACCAAGGAGUCUAACAUCUAUGCGAGUGUUUGGGUGUCAAACCCAUACGCGUAAUGAAAGUGAACGGAGGUGAGAACCCUUAAGGGUGCAUCAUCGACCGAUCCUGAAGUUUACGGAAGGAUCUGAGUAAGAGCAUAGCUGUUGGGACCCGAAAGAUGGUGAACUAUGCCUGAAUAGGGUGAAGCCAGAGGAAACUCUGGUGGAGGCUCCCACCGGUU
rnacentral:rRNA from 1 species